CCCACCUCACCGUCCUCCAAGGUUGCCGCUGCGCUAACUCAUCAAAAAUCACGACAGCGAUGGACGUGAACACUUAGCGCUCGGCCAUCAGAGGAGCCGUCUGUGUCUUACUGAGGCCUUGAAGCAACAAGCCCCUCAUACAUGGGCGCGGCUACGUACUCACUUAAAAUCAAACAUUACUGUGUGUUGGUACCUAAACGCAUCGUUGUGUUAGCGAGUGAGGGAAGGAGUGGCUGAUUAUCCAUGCCCACCUGAACACAGCAUUGCACACACAAGAGUGUAAUGAGGUCAGUAGCCGCUGGUCCAGUCAACAAAGCUAGCCUGACUGAUAGAAAGCAGCUAGAACCUGGAGGACAGCAGACUGCAAAAACAAAGUUGUCCAGAAAGCCAUGUCCCCUGGAGAAGAAGGUGGACUGAUGGUCCUAAAACUCCUCCUGGCACACUUCAGAGAGGAUAAAAGUGGUCUUGUGAUGUUUGCAGAUGUGAGGAAACUUCCAGUGGUUCCAGAUUUUAUUGCCAAUCCUCCUCCUUCAUCUUCCAUUGGUGUCUCUGCUUUGACAGGGAUGCCACUGCAGCUGAGCUGGAAUCAACACAGAGCCUUCCAGAGAGUCCACCACUUAUUUUACUCACUAAUCAGAGAGAUGCCUUAAGUUUUGUAGGGCGGAUGGUUGGAUUUCAUUUAACGGCUGAUCCUGGUUGGUUGGGUCUCCUCAGGUUGGAAACCUCUGGAUACAACAUGUUUCCAGUCAGAAUAGAGGGACACCAAAGGACAGCACACAGGAUAAAGAGGCGGAAGACAUGCGCAGACCAGACUCUGCAGACCUCUGAGGUCUCUGAUCAUCCCAGGAUGAUCAGUGCCGUUGUGGAACCAGAUCCCAGGAGAACCACUCUUCAGUUGUAUCAGUAAUUGUUUCAACGAUCUUCUGUUGUCUGUAGUCGUCAUGAUCCUGAGCAUGUGUUGCUACCUGCAGAGUGGAGGAAUCAGCUUGGAUGGUGUGGCUCAUGGUGCCUUAAUGAUGCUGUGGGGGAUAUAAGAGGCGCUGAGACGGUCCAACUUGACCUGAUGCUGAACCUCUGGAUGCUGCCUGCCAGCGGCCCAUUCACCUGACCAGGAUUUCUCUCGGUCUGAUCGCCUCAGUCCGCUCAGACUUUGGGGUUCUCCAUCCACGGUCGUCUCCAAGCUGCCCCUUCCUCCCUCCUGCCCGCUCUCCACCUCACAGCUACCAGGAUCCUCCACUCCCUCAGUUCAUCUGCAGUCUCAUCACAAAACUGUUGGGCCACCUGUGGAAACCCCGCUGAGCCCAAAUUAACUUUUCUCCUGGAGAGAAUAAACUUGUCUCCUUAGUUACCCAGAGUCUCCCCUUGGUUUCUGCUUGUGGGUCAGGAAGAUAGCUGUCAUGGUGUCUUCACACCCAACGCGUUUCUAUUGUGGCCACAUAUGGUGUUGUUGCUCGCCUGACAUAUUGCCAGCAAUUCGUUUAGGGGCGACCAGCCAAAAAUACAGCAGUACACGCUACAAAAACAGAACUAAAAAUAAGUAUAAUGUUCUCAAUAUUAGUAUAUUUU